UACGGGGGGAGCAAGCGUUGUUCGGAUUUACUGGGCGUAAAGCGCGCGCAGGCGGCCAUUUAAGUCUGGGGUGAAAGCCCGGAGCUCAACUCCGGGAUUGCCUUGGAUACUGGGUGGCUUGAGCAUCGGAGAGGCAAGGGGAAUUCCACGUGUAGCGGUGAAAUGCGUAGAGAUGUGGAGGAACACCUGUGGCGAAGGCGCCUUGCUGGCCGAUCGCUGACGCUGAGGCGCGAAAGCGUGGGGAGCAAACAGG
rnacentral:rRNA from 1 species